rnacentral:rRNA from 1 species
AUUGAACGCUGGCGGCAGGCCUAACACAAGCAAGUCGAACGAGUGGCGGACGGGUGAGUAAUGUCGGGGGAACUGCCUGAUGGAGGGGGAUAACUACUGGAAACGGUAGCUGAUGCAGCAUACCAUCGGGUGAGCCCAGAUGGGAUUAGCUAGGAGGUGGGGUAAAGGCUCACCUAGGCGACGAUCCCUAGCUUGUCUGAGCGGAUGACGCGACAAAAUGUAACUGAGACACGGUCCAGAAGCCUACGGUAGGCAGCAGUGGGGAAUAUUGCACAAUGGGCGCAAGCCUGAUGCAGCCAUGCCGCGUGUCUGAAGAAGGCCUGCGGGUUGUAAAGUACUUUCAGCUGGGAGGCGUUACCCGCAGAGGAAGCACCGGCGAACUCCGUGCCAGCAGCCGCGGUAAUAC